rnacentral:rRNA from 1 species
CUUCACCUACGGGGGGCAGCAGUGGGGAAUAUUGCACAAUGGGGGAAACCCUGAUGCAGCGACGCCGCGUGAGUGAAGAAGUAUUUCGGUAUGUAAAGCUCUAUCAGCAGGGAAGAAGCAAGACGGUACCUGAGUAAGAAGCCCCGGCUAACUACGUGCCAGCAGCCGCGGUAAUACGUAGGGGGCAAGCGUUAUCCGGAAUUACUGGGUGUAAAGGGAGCGUAGACGGCAAUGCAAGUCCGGAGUGGAAGGCGGCAGCUCAACUGCCGAACUGCCCUGGAAACUGUAUGGCUUGAGUGCAGGAG